ACUUCCUACAAUAAAUAUAUUCACCACUCACUCAAAGCUCAGGAUGAAAAUAUUUUAUGAUAAGUAAUGUGUGUACUGUAUAUACAUUUUUUAGGUCUAGCUCUAUUGCUUAUUUAAUAUAUAAUAGUGUAAACAUGUUAUUAGGCUUUUAUAUGCAUUUGAAAGUGAAAAAAGUCUGUGUUUCACUUUACAGUGAUUUUUGUUUUACAGCGGUAACCCAAAACCUAACCUGCUGUAUAAGUGGGGCCCUACAGUAACCUGGAACCUAACCUGCUGUAUAAGUGGGGCCCUACAGUAACCUGGAACCUAACCUGCUGUAUAAGUGGGGCCCUACAGUAACCCAAAACCUAACCUGCUGUAUAAGUGGGGCCCUACAGUAACCCAAAACCUAACCUGCUGUAUAAGUGGGGCCCUCCUGUAAAAGUUAGCACCUCUGAUUCAGAAUAUAUGUUAUCCUGAGUCAUCACUAUCAAUCACGGCAUUUUACACCUCAACUCUACCAUUAAAAGGUCACCCUGACUCGGUGGGAGAUGGUUGGUGUGUUGAAAUGAAAUAAUAAUAAACAAAAUUUUGUGUGUGUAAGGAAUACACUGAUCUAGCAGCCUCUCUGAUGCAAGGGACUCUCAUUACUAUGGUACUAGGUCACAAGUGUUACUCACUCAUUCACUGGAUUUGUGAAUGCCCUCUACUGAUGCCUAAAUCACAUUUUUACUAGCCGACCCAACACCACAUAAGAUUUCCUCUUGGCCGUGAGCUAAGACUCCACAACAUUGUGACCUUCUUAUCCUGAAUCUUGUUUGGUGUUGUGUUUGCCCUUAAAAAGUGACAUGAAGGAAUGUCACCAGAUUGAAACCUCGACACUUUUUACAAACACACAAAACUAAUACAAUAUUUAUUUAUUUAUUUCAACAACUUGAACCUUGCAAAAGCACAUAACUAGAAAGACAAAUAGAAAUUCCUCACCCAAAGAGUACAUAAUAGGUCUAUGGAGAAGUCUGCUCACUGCAUUUCAAACUUCACCUGUAAAAACUUAUCAGGCAAAAUGAAGGAACUUUACACAGGGUGGAGCACUUGCUUUCUCUCUGCUUUGAGGUCACCAGACAGUGACUGACAAUUAUAUUAUUGAUGGUAUACAAUACCAACAAUUUGUUGAAUAAGACUCGUGUGCAACACUUUGGUAUCUUUAGUGCUGGCAAUAGAGAUACCCCACUGUUGCACGUGUUUUAUUUAUCAAUCGUUACAAGUAUAUUAAAUUGUAUUUACAAUGUAUCAUCCUGUAUGAAUAUCAUUUGGAACAAUAUUAAAAAAUAUAACUGGAACUGCUUAUAAAUGCAAAAAUAAAAGUACGUAUAGAAAUGUACACAUUGUAAUAAUAUUCUUGCAGAAAAACCUGAAGGAAUAUAUAGACAUAUCCUUCAAAUUAAGCUCUGGUUAUAAAUAUAAAUACAUUUUUUUAAGAGAAACUUUGGUGUUAUAAGAUCCAUAAUAUAACAAAUAUUAAUAAAGUUUACAUAAUAAACUUAAAAGUUGUGAUUUAACUGCUGUUUAAGUAAAUAUAUAUAUCAGUGAAAAUUUCCUAAUUUUAAGAUAUAUCAAGGUAUGCCAGGUUAUUACU